rnacentral:lncRNA from 1 species
UUCUGCCUGCAUAUGCCUGUGUGCACCAGAUGCAUGCAGUGCCCAGAGAAGCCAGAAGAGGGCAUCAGUCCACUAGGACUGGAGUUAGAGGUAGUUGUGAGUCACCAUGUGGGUACUGGGAAUCAAACUCGAGCCCUCUGGAAUAGUAUCAAGUGCUCUAAACUGAUGAACUAUCUCUCCAGCCCCAUAGUUAGGGUUUUUUUUUUCUUUUAAAUGCAAACAAACACAUGGAGGCAUUGCCUGGCAUUUUCCACGUGACACAGAAGUCUGUGGGGGUGGUCUGUCCCCAGCUGUUUAUAACAUUUUCUGCCCAGCAUCUUUCCAGCCAGCCAUACCUUUGGCAUCCCUCUAUUCUGUCUCUUUUUAUCUCCCCAUUCCCUGAAGUUCAGCUGCUGUAGAAGGUUAUCUUCUAUAGAGAGCAGAGCCUAGCCACCCCAUAGAGCGUCUUCUCUUGGGCCACACAGAGGGCCUGGCAAGUUAUAUGCUAUUGAGAAUACUAGGUCUUGUUUUUGAGACAGGGUCUUACUCUGUAGCCCAGGCUGCCCUGGACCUCACUAUAUAUAUUUCAAGCUGGCAUUAAAUACAUGGCGAUCUUCCUGUCUGGGCCGGGAAGAGUAAUCCUUCACCACAGUCGGCCACAGAAGACUCCUGGUGACAGUCUUUCCUCACAAGCCUAUCCGUAGCUAUGCCCUGGAGGCCUGCAGGCAACAGGUCUCAGCACCAACCGGCCCUGUGUCCGGCAUGUGCCAGGAAAUGCAGAGGGUUCCCCAGGUCGGGGAAGGGUAGUCCAGAUGCUGGUGUGGGGGCUCCCCAGGCCUGGGCUGUCCUUCCAGGAACUCCCAGCCCCUUCCUGCCUGGCUUCCUGCCCAAGCCCUUCCUGGAAACCCAGCCCACCCAGCCCCCCAUAACAGGGCCGAUGUUUCCAUGGCGGCUCACCCCGGCCUGCCCAGUCAGCGCCCUUCCUUUCACUUUCCGUACUGAGAGUUUGGGAAAACAGCUUGGUGGGAAGGAGAUCCACACGGCCUCAGCCCAAGGAGUCCCACCCUACAAAGUCCUUCAUUGUCGUUGAGGAUCACAGAUCAGCAUGUCAGCUCUUAGCUACUGCUCCAGCUCCAUGCCUGCCGGCCUGCCACCAUGCUUCCUACCAUGAUGGCUAUGGACUCACCCCCUGAAGCUGCAGACCCCCAAAUAAAGCUUUAUUUUAUAAGUUGCCUUGGUCGCGUUGUCUCUUCGCAGCAGUAGAAAAGUAACUG